AGUCUUAUAUUCAAUAAUGAUGUAAAAUUGCAAAUUUUAAGGAGUAAAAUACAAUUACUAAGGCUU
rnacentral:tRNA from 1 species